UACAGGGGAUGCGAGUGUUAUUCGGAAUUAUUGGGUGUAAAGCGUCAGCAGGUGGACUUGUAAGUCUUUUGUUAAAUCUUCGGGCUUAACCCGAGGCAUGCAAAGGAAACUCCAAGUCUAGAGUAUGGUAGAGGUAAGAGGAAUUUCCAGAGGAGUGGUGAAAUGCGUAGAUAUUGGAAAGAACACCAACAGCGAAGGCAUCUUACUGGGCCAGUACUGACACUCAGUGACGAAAGCUUGGGUAGCAAACAGG
rnacentral:rRNA from 1 species